rnacentral:lncRNA from 1 species
AACACAAUGUUGUUAAUCAAUCAUCAUCCAAGGGUGACCACCAUUGGUCCUCAAUCUCUCCGUUGAUGAGUGCAUUGACAACACCCAACACAAAUUCAUAUCUUGAUAAAAAUAAAAAGAAAAGACAAACUCGAAACCAAAGAAAAAUCUCAGUCCCCUAAGAAAACGGCAACGACUCUACACGACUGAGACAAGGCAAAAAAUGGGCUCAACACCAAUCACAUGAAAGUCCAAAUCCGGCUCCUCAAGAAGAGGUAAAACAGCUCAACGCGACUAGAAAAAGAGCACAAGAGCAUAUAAAAGCUUACAAGAACUCGACUCCCCCUGAAAUCAGGACUCCCC